rnacentral:rRNA from 1 species
UACGUAGGGUGCGAGCGUUGUCCGGAAUUACUGGGCGUAAAGAGCUCGUAGGUGGUUCGUCGCGUUGUUCGUGAAAACUCACAGCUCAACUGUGGGCGUGCGGGCGAUACGGGCAGACUAGAGUACUGCAGGGGAGACUGGAAUUCCUGGUGUAGCGGUGGAAUGCGCAGAUAUCAGGAGGAACACCGAUGGCGAAGGCAGAUCUCUGGGCCGUAACUGACGCUGAGGAGCGAAAGCGUGGGGAGCGAACAGG